GGGUAGGGUGGAAGAGGGUGGAGGUGAAGGUGGUGAAGGUGGUAGUGGUGGUGGUGGUGGUGGUGGUGGUGGAGGCGGUGGUGGUGGAGGAGGAAGAGGAGGUGAGGAGCUUUGAUGGCAGUAGUUGGGCCCAGCCGGCACUCGCGGGUGUCCAUGAGCGUGUCUAUGUCGCUGAUGCAGGGGGGCGGGGCGGGGACGACAGGUGGAGGCGGGACGACGGGGCCCGGGGCCCACCCGGGCCAGGCGGUACUCGCGGCCGCCGCCGCUGCCGCCGCCGCCGCGGCGACCCAGCCGACCCCCACCUAUUAUCAUCCCGCCGCACCCGCGCCACCCCCACCACCACCGCCCGCGCAGGAUCCCGUCCAACCCGACAGACCCAUCGGCUACGGCGCUUUCGGUGUUGUCUGGGCUGUCACGGAUCCGAGGGAUGGUAGGAGAGUGGCCUUAAAGAAACUGCCGAAUGUCUUUCAAAGUCUCGUCAGCAGCAAACGCGUCUUCAGGGAACUGAAGAUGCUCUGUUUCUUCAAACACGAAAACGUUCUCUCGGCCCUGGAUAUCUUGCAACCGCCGCAUCUCGACUUCUUCCAAGAAAUAUAUGUGAUCACGGAGCUACUCCAAAGCGAUCUUCACAAGAUCAUCGUCAGCCCGCAGCACCUCAGUCCCGAUCACAUCAAGGUCUUCCUUUAUCAAAUCCUUCGAGGUCUGAAGUAUCUUCACUCAGCCAGAAUUCUCCAUAGAGAUAUCAAGCCAGGGAAUCUAUUAGUAAACAGCAAUUGCGUCUUAAAAAUCUGUGAUUUUGGAUUGGCCCGCGUGGAAGAGCCUGACCAGAACAAGCACAUGACUCAGGAAGUGGUGACGCAGUAUUAUCGUGCCCCGGAAAUUCUAAUGGGCGCACGACACUAUACCGCAGCCGUCGAUGUAUGGAGCGUCGGUUGCAUUUUCGGCGAGCUUCUUCGACGACGGAUUCUCUUUCAAGCUCAGAGUCCUGUGCAACAGCUGGAAUUGAUCACGGAACUGCUAGGCACCCCAACCCUCGAGGACAUGAGGUACGCUUGCGAGGGUGCAAGGACUCACAUGCUGAGGCGUGCACCGAAACCACCCUCGUUGACGGCUCUCUAUACCCUCAGCAGCCAGGCGACGCACGAGGCCGUCCAUUUGCUCUGCCAGAUGCUAGUCUUCGAUCCUGACAAGAGGAUCACCGUGGUGGAUGCCCUGGCGCAUCCUUAUCUGGACGAGGGAAGACUCAGAUAUCACUCGUGCAUGUGCACGUGUUGCUACACAACGAGUGCUGGGAUGAGACAGUACACUGGGGACUUCGAGCCAGCGACUACUCAUCCCUUCGACGAUCUCUGGGAGCGAAAACUGACGAGCGUGCAGCAGGUGAAAGAGGAGAUGCACAAAUUUAUAGCGGAGCAGCUGAACACGUCGCGCGUGCCGCUCUGCAUAAAUCCGCAGUCCGCGGCAUUCAAGAGCUUCGCAAGUUAGAGCAAGCUGAUCGCCGAUCCAGCAUCCUGCGCCGCGUAUACGUACACAUAACUACUACUACUACUACUACUACUACUACUACUACUACUACUACUACUACUACUACUACUCUACUACUACUACUACUCUACUACUACUACUACUACUACUAUUACUACUACUACUACUACUACUACUACUGCUACUGCUACUGUUACUACUAUUACUACUAUUACUACUAUUAUUACUACUACUACUACCACUAUUAUCGAAUCAUCUAUCUACUACUGUCAACUACUAUUGUCUAGUACUACUAUUACUACUACUAUUACUAUUACUACUACCAUUACCACCACCACCACCACCACUAUCACCAUCACUACAUCACCACCAUUACUACUACUAUUACUGCUACUGCUACCACUACUGCUACUUCUACUUCUACUACUACCACUACUACUACUACUACUCUCUACUACUACUACCACUACUACUACUACUACAACUACUACAACAACUACUACUACCACCAAUCGUGUUACGUGUCUUCCUGAAAGAACCGAAAGAACAGAGAGUCAGCAAUAAGUCGUCUCGACCUCGCUCGCAGAGCUCAACGGUGGCCCACCCUUCGGAACUGCCACCCUCUCCUCACCAAUGGGAAUAAAUCUUCUCCGCGCGGAAUAAGAAAGAGACACACAAAAAAAAUACAGACAAAGAAUGAAUGAAAGAGAUAGAAAGAUUGAUAGAAAGAAAGAAAGAAAGAGAGAGAGAGUGUGUGUGUGAGUGAGAGAGAAAGAAAAAAGUAAGAAAGAAAGAAAGAAAGAAAGAAAUAGAGGAGAGGACACGUAACUCACAAGAAUGGACCGUGUUUCCCGGUAUUCCUUAGACGUAUUCUCGUUUUUACGUCGUCAUUUGGACGAUCUUUUCGAAAGAAAGAGAAGCGAGGUUAUACUUAUCCGGGAAGACAAAACAAGAAGGAAGAAGGAAGAAACGGAGAAGAUGACAAAAAUAAGGAGAAAGAAAGAAAGAAAGAAAAAGAGAGAGAGAGAGAGAGAAAGAAAGAAAGAAAGAAAGAAAGCAAGCAAGCAAAGAAGAGCCAAGAGAGACAAUAGACUGCCGAGCACACUGUAGCUUCAAUUUCGACUAGCCGAUAUAUACAUAAACACAAAAAACAUAUAUACUCUUUACACGUACACGUACACACGCGAAUACACAUACACGAGAGAAGAAUAUACAUGUCCGUAUAAAUAUAGAUAUAUAUAUAUAUAUAUGUGUGUAUAUACAUAUAUAUAUAUCUACAUAUAUAUAUAUAUUAUUAUAAAUAUUGUAUACACGCGAGAAAGAGAGAGAGAGAGUGUGUGUGUUUAGAUAGGGGAGGGGAGGGGUAGACGCAUCGCGAAAGUAACGCGACGAGAAAGAGAGCCUAGUAGAAUGAGAUAGAAGAUGUAAUUUGUUAAGCUGGUGGAAGGGAGAGGGAGAGAGAGAGAGAGAGAGAGAGAGGCGCAAAUGAGGGGCUCAUGUAUUAUAAAAAUGAUCGAAAUAACUAAACGAAACACGAAAAAGACCAAUCGAAGGAACGAUGUGUCUCAUAGAUCGAUUGAUCGAUCGGUCGAUCUACACGACGAUCCAGUCUCUUUUUAUCAUUUAUUCUUCUCUAUGAAUAUUUAGAAAUUACGUGAAUGUUUGUAUGUGUGUGUAUGUAUAUAUAUAUAUUACACGUACAUAUAUGUGUGUGUAUAUAUAUAUAUAUACAUAUUUAACGAUACGACGCGGAUAUAUUUUCUCGAGAAUAAAUCGAUCUUGUUUCGAUCGUAGAUAACGAUCAACGUGUUCCGAAUGAUCGAUCGUUGUCUUUUUCGAGAUCACGCGUGUUUUUAUGAAUGAGACGGAAAGAGUAAGAAAGAUAAAAGAUUUUUCGAUGAUCCUAUGUAUAUAUACAAAUAAAUCUAUGUGUAUAUAUAUGUAUAUAUAUAUAAUAUUAUAUACAUGUAUACAUAUUAUACACAUGUAAAGAUCAUAUAUAUAUACAUAUACAUAUAUACACACAUAUAUAUAUAUAUAUGUACAUAUAUAUGAUCGAUCUUAUAGGAUCGAUCGAUUUUGCAGGGCCAUUAUAUGGCUAGGAUAUUUGCGAAGUAAUCGAGAUACGUGACUUCGUGAUCGAUGAUAAUUUUUAACGUCAUUAUUAAGAUUGAAAAUAAUGUCAAUAAAAAUAUGAACGUCGGAAAGUUGUUGAUUUUGAGAAGAGAAUAAAAAAGAAGUAAAAGUUCAAAAAUACGUGAAUAAACAAACAAACAAACGAACGAACAAACAAACAAACGAUUAAACGAAGAACGGAAAAAAAUAAUGAUAGAAAAAGAGACUGGAACUCGUGAUUGCUUCGACAGAAAAAAAAUUAAUCGAACGAAUUCAUUUCGUAUAUUCAAGUCGAGAAACGACGAGAGGGGAGGAUUGAUUUUAAAUGCCGACUCAAAUUCGAAUUUUUUCAAUUAAAUCCCAUAGAUCGUAAGCUUGUCGGCAAUAGAAAAUAUAAAGAAAAAAAAAAUGAACAAAACGAAAAAAAGAAUAAAAAAAAAAAAAUUAACAAGGAUACUAAAAAGAAACGUAUAGUUGUAUUUGAGAAUGAACGAAAGCCUCUGUUUCAUUCUCGUCGUCGUUUAGAAAUAAAUCGUAGCCGAAGCAGCACUCAGUUCGAACUGAGAAUUCGAAAGAGGAUAAACAUUACACGUCUAAUCUUGUUCUAAUCUUAUCGUAAAAUAUCGUAACGAAGACUUUGAUAUAAUAGUCUUUUAGCGAUGUUGUAUUAGGGAUUCAUCGAAAUUGUUAAAACGAUAACGGCGAAUUUACAAUGUGUGAGAAGAACGUCGAUCGACCAAAUUAUAAUUAGUUCUAAGUAUUAUUGUAUUCUCUGAUCGCGAUUACGGUCGAUCGACGUAAGAGAUAUAUGCGUAUAUUAUAUAUUUUAAAAUAUUACGAAAGAUUCCUAUAAUCAUCAAGUUUAUGACGUUUAUCACGAUGAUCCAUGUGCUAUGUUGUUGCUUCCGGUGACACCCAAUUUUCGAUUUUGUUUCCUUUUCUAAUCUCUCUUGUUUCUUUAAAAAUUUUUUUUUCUUUUCUCUUCCCUCCCAUUUUUCCUAUUACGUAGGGAAACAUUUUUCGACCUAUAUUAGAAGGUAAAACCAUUUGUCCGUCGCGUCGUCUCAAAAAAAUUAAAAAAAAAAAAGAAGAAAAAAGAAAAAAAAUGGAUUAGAUCACAAUCACGAAAAACAUUACAACUUGAUGAUUUAAGAUUGUAAAAAAAAAUCUGUAUUUUGCGAUUAACCUAGAGAAAUAAAAUCGUUCGAUGGAAAAAAAGGAAAAGGAAAAAGAUCGAAUAAAAAGAAUGGAAAAAAGAGAGAGAAAGAGAGAGAGACAAUUGUAUCGUUAACGCGAGGAAUCGUUUAAUUUUCUUUUUCUUUUUUUUUUCUUUCUUUCCAAAUCAAACGAUCAUAGAAGAAUCAAUUUAGAGAGAACGAUCGGACGUUUUGAAAUGCGAUAUAAGUAACUGCGUAUGUAUAUUCCACUUAAAAUACACUGCCGAGACGAAUAAUUGUACGAGCGAUCGAAAACAAAUUAAAAGAAAUAAAAAAAAAAAAAAAAGAAGUUUAAACUUAAAAAAGGUUAAUAGAGAGAAUAGAAAAACGAAAAAGUUACUGGUAAAAUAGUGGCUUUUUUUGUCUGUUGUGUAAACGUGAUCGAAGCAAACAUUUUCGAACGUUUGAUCCACUAACGAAACAAAUAAAUGUAAAACGAGCCAGACAUAUGAUAAUGAUGCAUAAUAAGAAAACGAUUAGUUUAUAAUGAUAAAUUGAUUGAUUAAUUGAUUGAUUAAUCGAUCGAUCGAUCGAUUAAUCAAUCAAUUAAUCAAUUACUAAUAAUAACGAUAUAAAUAACGAUAAUUAUACGUUCUGAGUGUGAUUAUAGAUUUUAAGGAGUCUAGAUGAAGGAAUUCGUAGUUUCACAGGGAAUAUAUCUUAAGGAAGUGAAGAAAAAAAAAAAGAAAGAAAGGAUGAUAUAACUAGAAAAGAAAUUCUAGAUAGACGUAUUUGUAUUUAGAACAUUGUAGUAAGUGCUGUGUCGCUCGUUUGACUCUUUUCUCUAUAUAUAUAUGUAUAUGUGUAUAUGUAUAUAUAUGUGUGUAUAUAUAUAUACAUAUAUAUAUUUUUUCUUUUUUUGUUUCUCUUUAUAUCUUUUAUUUUUCUUGGUUUCUUUAAUGGACAGGAAUCACAUGUGUUCUCUUUUUUACGCGAGUAAACUCAAAUUGAGUUUUAAUAUGAUUAGUGAAGAAUGAAUGAAAGAGAGAGAAAGAGAAUAAGAGUGUGUGUGUUUGAGUGACAGAGAGAGAGAGAGAGAGAGAGAGAAAGAGAGAUAGAUAGUCGUAAUUAAGUAAUUUAUCUAUCUUCUAAGUAUUUUUAAACGAUGUUCCCGUAUUCGCAAGAGAGAAAGGAAUGCACGCGACCACUUUCAUUCGUUAUUGCUUUAACGAACUUUCAAAAAAGGCAUAAGAUAAAAAAAAAAGAAGAAUGAGGAGAAAGAGGAGAGAAGACGAAGGAGAAGAACGGAAAAAAGAAAAAAUCGAAAAAUAUAAACAUCAUUGUACAGUAGCCGCGUUUUUGAGGUUUUAGGUCGCGUGUAUCUUGAAGGAAUUAAUAAUAAUGAUAAUGAUAAUGAUAAUGAUAAUGAUAAUGAUAAUAAAAAUAAUAAAUAAUUAGAAUUUUCAAGAGAGCGUAAUAGAGCAGGGGUGAAUAUUGAAAAAUAUUUGAAUAAUACUUAAUCGUAAUUAAUUUACCGAGCGUUCUUUACCUGCGAACGUUGUAAUCGAUAUGUCAAAUUUUCGUAUCUCAGCGAUGAAUUCUUUUCUCGUAAUUAUUAGACAUAGAAAGUUAAAAAAAAAAAAAAAAGAAAAAGAAAAAAGAAAAGAAAGGAAAGGAAAGGAAAGGCGAAAAAAAGAAAAGAAAAGAAAAGAAAUGAAAAAAAGUCACACAGAAAACGAUGGACCCGACCGUUUGAAAGAAUUCACACACACACAUCAUUUGUAUAUAAAUUCAUCUUAUUCAUCGUGUAAAUAGAUUUACCUGAUAUAAUCCCAUGAAUCGAUUGAUCCAUCGUAAUCAAAGACAAAAGAAACGCACGCUGUGCUACUCUACACAUAUUUCGAAAAGAGUAUGAAUUAAUUAGCAUCGUUUCUAACAAUCUAUUCUAAUUGAUAGUAUCGUCUAAUUGUUACAUCUUUUUUCUUUUUUUUUUUUUUUGAGAUCCAUACUUUAUUAUCUAAGUUCAAAAGCUCGUUCCGUAUAUAUGUAAUCGAGUCAGAUCGAUUGUCGUCAAAGUUCUUAUGGUUACUUAUGGUUUUAAUUAUUCUUUUUAACGAUUACGCGUUCACGAUCACUGCUGGUGUAUCGAUCAUUGGAAUAAUCAUCAUAUUAAAAAAUGCAACUGCACUUGUUUUAUUCGUUAACUUUCAACGAGCUAACUUAUCUCGAUUAUAUUUAGAAACGACGAAAAUUAUUCAAUAAUCAUGGAUAUAUUAUUAUGGAUAUAAUAUAAUUUUUUUUUCUCCUAAAGUAGCCAAGAAACUUCGUCCAAUAGGAAGGUUCGAUUGAAUAACGUGUUAAUUACGACUCACUUAGCGAUUACUUUUCAAAGUGAGAUAUAAACUAUUUGGAGGAUCGAUAGAACAUGGAUGUGAUAGAUCCACGAGGAUGUACGAAGAGGUGAUCUUUGAAGAAAGAUUAUUGAUCUAUAAAUGGACUAUAAACGUACGACAUUCCAUCCGUUUAAAUAUGUAUAUAUAUAUACAUAUGUAUAUUUUUUUUUUAUUUGCAAUCUCUCCACAUCAUCUUCAACUUGCAAAAACUUAUUAUUUUUUAUCUUCUUUUAACUUAACCUUUUAAUCGAUCCUUUUCGAAGAUCAACUUCCAUCGUUCGUUAUCCUGGAUCAUCAUCCACGUAUUAUCUUCUCGAUAGUAACAUUUACAGUUCGAUAAAUAAAAGUAUUUUAGGAUCUACGAGUGAAAAUAAUCCUAUUCCCAUCUUCGAAACUCAACAACGCUAUACUUGUUCAAUUUCUUUGUUUUUCUCAUUACUAGAAACGGAACGAGAGUGAAAGAGAGAGAAUACGCGAAUGGAAAGAUUUGGGUGCUGUUAAUUGCGAACAGUAAAAAAAAAAGAAAAAAGAGAAAAAAACUAUCACAGAAAAGAAGAAAAAGAAAAAGAUUAAAUAAAUAAAUAAAUAAGAAAAUAAAUGAAAAACAAAAAUCCUAAAGAAGUUGGAUUCUAAUAAUAAAUUUGUCGAAGUUUCGUGGACACUUUUUUCGCUAUAUUGCAAUUCAAUGAAAUAAAUCGAAAAUGAAAUUAUAGACUUUUGAAAUAUACAGUAACGUGAGAGAAUGUUAUGUAAAGUAUUGGUGUGUUCGUCCGUGUGUAUGUGAUGAGAGAAAGAAAGAGAGAGAGAGAGAGAGAAUGAACGCGUGUAAUUAAUGUUUCCUAUUAAACGAGUUAGACGAUGACGAUGACGACGACGACGACGACGACGAUGAGUAUACUUAAAGAAGACACUGAUAAAAAAAAUACUUAGGCCAGUUUGUAGCUGAUAGGUCGGGGCAUUUAACACUGCACCACGAUUAGAAAAAGAAGAGAGAGAGAGAGAGUGAGAGAGAGAUAGAAAGAGUAUUUUUUUUUUCUUUUAACGUACGUAUAAGACUCCAUAACAUGCAUACGUAAAAUUAUUUGCAUGUGUAAUAACAACGUACAUUUAAUGAAGCAAAUAAGAAGAAAACGGCAACACAUAUUAUACACAAAGGACGUUCGUGUUAGUUCUUGUUUCCCUUUUUUUUUUCUUCCUUGUGUCGAACGUAAAAAUAAAACGAAUAUAAAUUGUCGUUAUAAAUAUAUAUAUAAAUAGAUACAUAUAUAUAUAUGUGUGUGUGUGUGUGUUUAUACACAUUAAUGGAGGCUAGGUGACGAUUAUUGUAAGAUUUCGUAAGGUACCUACGGUCAUACCGAAAUAAUAAUACGAAGAUCGAAAAGAAAUAAUAAUGACUCGUUCGUUAUGGAAAGUGGCCUGGCACGAAUUACACACACGUAUGCAUUGGAUUUGAUUCGAUCUAAUUUGAAGAGAAAGAAAGAGAAGGAAAAAGAAAAUUGUGAUAAAAUCGAUCAAGAUUCUUCUCUUGUCUUGUUUGAUUAUGGUAAAGUUCGAUUCAAUCAAUCGCAAUCUUGACAUUUCGUUUGUUUUAUUCCUUUUUUAUUUUAUUUUAUUUUAUUUUAUUUUUUUUCUUUUUCAAUCGUUACCUCUUUUUGUUCCAUUUCAUGAACCAUUUUCUCGACGUAUUUAUGUAUGUAUGUAUGUAUGUAUUAUGUUUGUAUGUAAUAACUGUCUAAGUGAGAAAUUUUUACAGAAAAAAAAAGAAGAAAAAAAAAUAAGUAACGUUAUACUGAAUCUCAUAAAGUAUUUGUAUGAAAUAAUCCGUUGGACGCUAGUAGUAAAAUGUACAUAAUCAUCUUUUUGUCUCUUUUCUUUUUUCUUUUUCUUUUUUCUUUUUUUUUUAUAUGUGUACUUUCAAAAUGAGAUAAGUCGAUAUAUUUCAUACAAAUAAAGCAUUAUUCGACGGGUGCGAAAGAUCGAUUUUGUUUUCGAUAUUAUUUUCUGUGUCCCACAUUUUAUUUUUCACUUCAUUCGUAAAAUGAUUAUUCUUAUGCAUGAUUCUAUUAACAAAGAGAGUUGCCUAACAACGAGGCAAGAGGAGUUAGAAAGUUUAGAUUAUGAAUUUUCCCAACAAAAAAUGUUGUAUAGAAAAAGUGUUGAGAGAAAAAUAAAGUACACGAAAAAUGGGGGUAAAUGAACGAGCAUAAUCGUGUUUCGUUUGGUUUUAGAAGUAAAGAGAAAAAAAAAAAUAAAGAGACAAAUAAAGAAGGCCAAGCACUUUUCAACAUUCGUCGGAAUCGUAAAAAGACGAAAUUUUUCGUUCGAAAAUGAUAAUUCAAAGGAUGUCUAACGAAGAGAAGAAAAAAAAAAGAAAAUAUGACAAAACGUACAUUGCGAAAUAAAGAAACAAAAAAGAUAAAAGGAUACUAAAGAUUUUAUCUCUUUAACGUUGAUAGAAUUUCAAUGAUAAUAGUGAUGAGAGAAAGUGGUCACUCGUUAAGGAACCAUAAUGACCUGUUUUUAGUAACUAAGAGGCCUUAAUUAAUCGCGUUUAUAAUAAAUAAUACAUUCGCUAUGAUCUUAAAGAUAGCGUAAAUAAAAUAUUUCUCAGACGUACAAGUGUAAUAGUACUAAUACACACGUUUAAUAUUACGAAUAAAAAGGAAGAGAAAUACAAGCGUACCACUUAUACAUACACAUUACAUACACACGCACACAGAUUUACACGCGUUUAUUACGCAGACUCGCGCGAAUAUCGAUCACCUUCUCGUUCGAUUUUUGUGAUCAUUUUUUUUUUGUUUUUUUCUUGUUUUUUUUGUUUUUUUUUUUUAUUAUUCUCUAGACGGAGAAAAAAGAAUUUCUUUUUCGACGUGUCAAAAGUUUCACUUCGGAAAAAGUAUUGCGUCCCAUGAGGAUUCUAAAAAUUAUUUAAUUUAAAGAAUAAACUAUAUUCCAAACAAUAAUGAGAAUCGGACGAGAGAUGAAUCUUCCUGUAUAGUCACGUUUUCUCGGGGUAAAAUCGUUGCUAUAGUUUUUUCUUUUUUUUUUUUUUUUUUUUUCUUCGUAGAGAUCAGUGUCUCUGAAGAUAGGAAUAUAAAUGUUAUAUACUCGCGGAUUUUUACGUAUCCGAUGGAAAAUCCAUAUUAAUUCAAUAAAUACGCGCUCUUAUUAAUUAAAUUAUUCUUAUCACACGAUAGAGACUUUUCACAUCAGCACUGCCAAUAUAUUUCGGCGUUGUAACAAAACGACGCGUCGCAAAUUUUAAUCCUCUCGCUUUUUCGACAAUGAAAGAAGAUGUUUGAAAACGGGAAGAGAAAAGAAAAAAAAUAUAUAUAUAUAUAUCAUUCGGUAUUCCAAUUAGUCUGUGAAAUUAAAUAAAUAACUCGAAAAAGAAAACAAAAAAAAAAAAGGCAACGUGAUUAUAAAGCUAUAUCAAUUUAAAUCUGUCUAUGGAAUAUCAAAAAUACAGACUAACUCUCUCGAUGUACUAAUUAUUAAUUAGAUGAAAAACUUUGAUCUUUUUUCUUUUUGCAACGAGAUUGUAUCUGUCUUUCGAUCGUUUGAAAUUGAAUAUUUUUUUUUCUUUUUCUUUUUUUUUUUUUUUUUAUACGAAACGCGUAAUAAGAAACAGAAACGCAAAAAAAAGAUUAAAAGAUAGAGAGGACAAUUGUUCGAAUCGGUCGAAUGAAAUCGCGUAAAAGAAAUAUUGCGACGAUGUUUAGUAGAACGUUUUGUCGAGAAAAGAAAUAAAAAUAUUCCCAUUUUGGGAAAAACACACCUUGUAAAUGCACAUCAAGCCUGUAAAUAUUAGCGAUUAUGACUUUGAGAAAUUCGUGUACCUUGAAAGUAGCCCGAAGCCUUUCCACGUUUUAGCGUUAAACGUUAUUUCGAUUAUUAUCUCUGGUAAAAGAUGAAAGGAGAAAAUGGGAAUUAAAAGAAACGUGUAAGAGAAAGAAAAUAAAAAAGAUACAGAAAAAGAGAGAGAGAGAGAGAGAGAGAGAGAGAGAGAGAGAUCUCGACAAUGAUCAUUUAUGUAAAUAAAUAGAUUAGAAAGUUUUAAGAUUCGAUUUACGUAAGAUAUACAUACAUAUGUACGCGUACAUACAAUAUUAUAAAAUUACACCAAGAAGAUCGAAGCUGGAUAAAUCGUGAUUAGAAUAGUUGUAAAUUAUCUUCUAUUAAUUGAAGGAAAUGAAUGAAGGAGGACGAAGAAGUUAAAGAAAAGAAAAAAAAGAAAAAGAAUUAGAAGCGACGUCCUUCUAAACGAAAAAUCUUAAUUUUUUUUUUCUCUACUCUUCACUGCUUCCAAUUUUUGGAUACGUGCUGUAAACGUAAAGAGUUUAGUACGAUCGAUUACUGUCCCGUUUAGAAUUAGUCUCGGCGAUCGAACAUUUCGAAUAGCUUGAAAUCACUGUUAAUAGAAAGUUAAAAAAGGAACAUUAAGAAAAUAUAGGUUAAUAUAUUUAUCCGUUCUGAAAUAUUAGAACAAUAAGCAAAGAGAAAAACUAAGAGGUCGCGUGUAUAUGCAACCUACGAGACAUUUUUCUAAACAAACGGUACAAAAAGUUCGGUCGUCGAUUUUUUUAAAUGUUCUGAGUGUCUGUAAAUAAAUAAACUCUUGCUAUUACUCUUGCUAAUCGUGUGCGAAUUAUAAAGGAACAAAGAGAAAAUUAAAAGGAAGAAGAAAAAAAAAGGGAACGGAAAGAAACGAAGAAUGAAAAUUCAUAAAACGAGAAGAAUUUAUCGUGAGAAAGAAAAAGAGAGAAUUAUCGCGCGUGUUUCAACGACCAAAAUGUGCUUUGAUCAAUGAUCGACAGAAGUAUGUUCUUUUUAAUUUUUUUUUUUUUUUAAUCUUUAAAUAAUAAUCGAAAAGGAAGGGAAAAAAGUGAAAUAUCAAAUAAAGAGAACGAUGAAAGAAACAUAAAUGAUUUGACGACCAUAUUAUUGUUUGUAUCGAAUGGGAAUUUUUAUGAGAAGAACGAGUCAAAAUAAGAAAAAAUAAAAUUGAGAGAGAGAGAGAGAGAGAGAGAGAGAGAGAAGAAUAAAUGAAAAAAUAUCUCUAACCCAUAUCCCCUCUUUUAACUUUUAUCGUGUCCAAUCGCUAUUUAAAAAAGAGCGUAGAGUUUUCUCUGAUUAGUCGAUAUGUGUAUGUGUGUAUAUAUAUAUAAACGAAAUCUAAUGCUAACAUCGCAGAGAGAACAAAGAGAUAAAAGUAAAAGGAUAAUAAAAUGAGUCGUUCUCCAAAUGGUCGAAAAAUUAUGGCCAAAGUAGAUUAAAUUUAGAUGAAACUCGUCUGUCUUUGUCGCACUGGUAUUGGUCUUAAAAAAUACACGAAUACAUGCGUACACAUUCACACAUACAUACAGACACACACACGUAAAUUCGUAUACAGGAUAUCGCAAAUAAUCGACUGAUUAAGUACUUAGAUCAUUGAUAUCAGAAAAAGAAACAAACAAACAAAAAGCAAAAGAAAUUUUUCUAAUUCUCUUUGAAACUAAUGUUGAAUUAUUUCAUUGUAACAAAUAUAAAAUAAUAAAAGUAAUUAUUCUAUUUUACGUCUUCAUCCGGAAUAAAAUUCUUUCUUUUCAUUUUUUUUUUUAAUUUUACAUUUUUGGAAAAAACAAAUUAUAUAUAUAUAUAUAAGAUGAUAUCCUGUAAAUGAAGUACACUUGAAUGUAUUUAUAUUUAAAUGGCGUUCUUCUUCCUCUUCGCGACUACGAGGAACAUCCUUGGCAAGAGUUCGACAGGACAAAAUUUUUUGUAGAUUGUUAAGACGUAUGCAUAUAAAUAAAUAAAUAAAUAUAUAUAUAAAUAAAUAAAAGAAUGUAGGAAGUCGUAAUUUUUGUAUUCUCGAGAAUAACGUAACAUAUUUGUGCGUGCAUUUUUCCCUCUUCGUCCUCGUCGAGCAAAGGAGCCAAGGAAGUUCGAUAGUCCUUCUUCGAUACAUCGUAGAGAACACGUGAUAAUAUUUAAGGCGCAUUCGUAAUUCUUUUUCCGUUCCUUUUCAUUUAUUUCUUUUUGUUCAUCUGUUUGUUUGUUCGUUCGUUCGUUUAUACAUAUAUAUAUAUAACAUAUAUAUAUAUAUAUAUUACCAUUACUAUUAUUAUAAUUAUUAAGUUAAUUAAUUAAUUCUGUCGAGGGAUAACGGUGACAGUGUAUUCAAUGUAAAUAGAAAAAGAACUGUAAAAUAACAUAAUGUCGAUGAUGCCUAUAAAUUUAAUCUACUAUUAUUAUUAUUAUUAUUAUUAUUAUUAUUAUUAUUAUUAUUAUUAUUAUUAUUAUUAUUAUUAUUAUUAUAUUACUAUCACUAUUUACAAUUACGUCAAGAACAAGAAAGAAACGUCUGUUUGCUAAACACAAAGAAAUGCAUAUUACAUGUACACUACGUUCAUACACGCAGACACACACACAUACAUAUAUAUAUAUAUAUACUACACUAUUAUUAAUUAUAUUAAUAAUAAUGAAAAAAACCUCUCUCUCCAUAAAAGCAGUUUAUUCUAUCUGUAUUCGUCGGUUCUCGAUUGAACGUUAGAUUUUGUAUUAAUCCCUUUUUCUCUGCGUAUGACGUUUUAGAAUAUGAGAGAGGUUCGAUUUCGGGACAUUCAGGAUAUCUCUCGAUCGUCGAUCGAUGCCUAAUUUCAUGAUCAAUCGAAAGGAUUAUCAUCAUCAUCAUUUCUAAUAUCAUUACUCUUUUCACUUCUUUCUAAUGACGAAUAUUACUUCAAAUCAACGAAUUUACUUUUUGAAGGAUAAACUAUCAGAAAAAAAAAAAAACAAAAAGAAAGAAGAAUUAUAAAUAAUUGCAUUCGUUUAAAUGAAAUCCUUCAAAAAGAAAGAAAAAAAAUUAGAUCCCCGAUCUGAAUCGUUCACAAAAAUAUAAAAUUCGCGAAGUCAACGUUUUUAAUGUGUUCGAAGAAAUAAUUGAAAAAAAAAGAAAAAAGAUACGAAUUCACAGAAAUAUCGAAUUAACAGAAAUAAAAAUAAAGAAUGUAGAAACGAAUUUUGUUAAUCGCUUAAUCGUUCCAGUUUGUCACGAUCGACCUCUCGAAACGUAGAUUCAAUCGUGUCUUUCACAAUUAAGUAGACCUCGUGGCAUCGAUUCGAGUUAUUCGAUAUUACGUCUAAUAGAAAGAUAUCUGCAUUGAAAAUAGUCAAUAUAGUUUUUCAUGUAGAUCCUUUUUCUCUGUCUCGUACAUACGUAAACGACAACGAUAACAACAUCAACAACAAUAACACAUACUCUCUAUGUGUAUAUAGAAUUGAACGUAUGCGUCGUGUACGUAGAUCGAAGUGGACGUUCUUCAAUCGAUACGCGAAUUCGAUUAGUCGAUGGUAAUUUCGAUUUAAUUAAGAUUUCUCUCGUGCACAUGUCUUAGGUGUGUCUAUACGUUCGGCGUUCAGAGAUCAAUUUUGAUAAAUUACGAUCAUUUGUUAAGAAAAAAGACAAAAUAAAAAAGAAAGAAAGAAAGAAAAAAAAAACAGAGACUUCGUUUUCUUCUACGUACUUGAACUUAAACAAGCUUGCUUAAACUCAAAACUCCAAACAAUUGGGCCAUUUCGUUAAUUUAAUAAACGUUUGAACUGAUGCGAUAAUCUUUAAGGAUAUUUUAUUAUUUAAAAUGUGUUCGAAUUGAGAUAAACGUGUGUAAAUGUUUUCUAUCGUGAAUAUUUUACUCGUCGAUGUUUCUACGAUAAGACGAUUAAACGAAAGAUCGAUAGAAUUAAUAUAACUCUAUUAUUCUUACUCUUAUUGUUAUUAUUAUUAUUAUUGUUAUUGUUAUUAUUAUUAUUAUAACGAUUAAUUGCAAACGAUCGAUAUUUUAUCAGAAUUGAUGGUGUACGACCGACACAUCUAGCUGUAAAUCCUCAUGAAACACAUUCUUAACAAAUUGAAAAUAAUUCUCGUUAAAGCCGUGACCAUUAAAACACGGGAUAAUAUCGUAGUCCGAUUCGAUCCCCUUCAAAGCCUUUUUCCUUUUUAUCGAUGACGAUCGAAAUUUUAAUUCAUUAAAUUACCGAUAAUCAAAUCUUCCAGUAAAUUCCGAAUCAAAAAAUGUGAUCUAAAAGGGAACGCUAAUGAGCUGAACAAAAAGUAAAACAAGAAUGAGAUGAAUUUUUUAAAAAUUAGCAUGGAAGAACAACGAGAAUUAUAAAUUAAACAAACAAACCAGAAGAAACACGAAAUGAUCUGAUCACUAUUAACCAUCAAGAGCACUCGAAGACUGGCAAUCAAAACUACCGUAGGCAAAUUUAAAACGAAACAAAACAAAAUAAAAAAAGAAUAAUAAAAAUAAAAGAAAAAAAAAAAAGAAAGAAAA